GCCCUCGUAGAUCAGCGGUAGAUCCUCCAUAUUUGUUCACUUUGCAUUCCCAGGAUAUGUGGAUGAUGUGGGUUCGACUCCCACCGCGGGCA